GUGCCAGCAGCCGCGGUAAUACGGAAGGUCCGGGCGUUAUCCGGAUUUAUUGGGUUUAAAGGGAGCGCAGGCUGAUUGUUAAGCGUGACGUGAAAUGUAGCCGCUCAACGGCUGAACUGCGUCGCGAACUGGCAGUCUUGAGUGAGUACGACGUCAGCGGAAUUCGUGGUGUAGCGGUGAAAUGCUUAGAUAUCACGAAGAACCCCGAUUGCGAAGGCAGCUGACGAGUCCUUUACUGACGCUAAAGCUCGAAGGUGCGGGUAUCGAACAGGAUUAGAUACCCUGGUAGUCCGCACGGUAAACGAUGGAUGCCCGCUGUUGGCGAUAUAGUGUCAGCGGCCAAGCGAAAGCGUUAAGCAUCCCACCUGGGGAGUACGCCGGCAACGGUGAAACUCAAAGGAAUUGACGGGGGCCCGCACAAGCGGAGGAACAUGUGGUUUAAUUCGAUGAUACGCGAGGAACCUUACCCGGGCUUGAACUGCAGGGGAACGAUAGAGAGAUCUUGAGGUCAGCAAUGACCCCUGUGGAGGUGCUGCAUGGUUGUCGUCAGCUCGUGCCGUGAGGUGUCGGCUUAAGUGCCAUAACGAGCGCAACCCUUGUCUGUAGUUGCCAUCAGGUGAUGCUGGGCACUCUGCGGAUACUGCCACCGUAAGGUGUGAGGAAGGUGGGGAUGACGUCAAAUCAGCACGGCCCUUACGUCCGGGGCUACACACGUGUUACAAUGGGGUGUACAGAGAGUCGGUGCAUGGCAAUAUGCAUCCAAUCCUUAAAGCACUCCUCAGUUCGGAUUGGGGUCUGCAACCCGACCCCAUGAAGCUGGAUUCGCUAGUAAUCGCGCAUCAGCCAUGGCGCGGUGAAUACGUUCCCGGGCCUUGUACACACCGCCCGU
rnacentral:rRNA from 1 species